rnacentral:misc_RNA from 1 species
AAGGAUCAUUACCGAGUUAGGGUCUCUAUGGCCUGACCUCCAACCCCUUGUAUUAUCACUAUAUGUUAUUGUUGCUUCGGUGGGCUGAAAAUGCCUACCGGAGCCAUACCGAAAAAAUCUUUUAAACAUGUUGUCUGAGUUAUGUUUAUAAUCAUUAAAACUUUCAACAACGGAUCUCUUGGUUCCC